rnacentral:rRNA from 1 species
GUCUGAAUGUGAAAGCCCCCGGCUCAACCGGGGAGGGUCAUUGGAAACUGGGGAACUUGAGUGCAGAAGAGGAGAGUGGAAUUCCACGUGUAGCGGUGAAAUGCGUAGAGAUGUGGAGGAACACCAGUGGCGAAGGCGACUCUCUGGUCUGUAACUGACGCUGAGGAGCGAAAGCGUGGGGAGCGAACAGGAUUAGAUACCCUGGUAGUCCACGCCGUAAACGAUGAGUGCUAAGUGUUAGGGGGUUUCCGCCCCUUAGUGCUGCAGCUAACGCAUUAAGCACUCCGCCUGGGGAGUACGGUCGCAAGACUGAAACUCAAAGGAAUUGACGGGGGCCCGCACAAGCGGUGGAGCAUGUGGUUUAAUUCGAAGCAACGCGAAGAACCUUACCAGGUCUUGACAUCCUCUGACAAUCCUAGAGAUAGGACGUCCCCUUCGGGGGCAGAGUGACAGGUGGUGCAUGGUUGUCGUCAGCUCGUGUCGUGAGAUGUUGGGUUAAGUCCCGCAACGAGCGCAACCCUUGAUCUUAGUUGCCAGCAUU